AACGUUUCACCAUCCACACGUUAUUCAGCAGUUCAUUGAAAAUUCAACGCAACGCACGGUUGUCAUUAAACAAGCACCAUUGCCACGCGUCAAAAUUUUGACAGUCUUAUUUCAGCCGUCAAUUGUUGCGGAUGGAUAUUUUUCCUCGUAGAAUUAAAUUUAUUUUGAAAAUACUAGUUUUCUGUGACUUAAAUACUGAAUGAGAACAAUUGAAUUAGUAAUUUAUCUAAUCUGCGAACACAAAUUACUUUCCAUUCAUUGUGAACAUAUUCGACAAUCGAAGUCAUCGCAAUUUUCUUUCCUUCACUCGUGACAAAUUUGUGUCUGUGUUAAAAUAUUCUUCAAUCAUUCAAUUAGGAAAUAUUUAAUGAAUAAGUGUUAACAACUGUAAUCACCUAAUUUGUGUACAUGUGACUCGAAAAGCUUACUCACUGGAAUUGCUCCUAACCGAACUGAAUGCAGUUCGCAUUCUCUUUUCGUCGAGAAUAAUAACCAUUUCCUCGAACAACAACACCUCAUCCAAAAGAGCCGCUGCAAUGCGACAGCUCCCAGUCCGACGAAUAAUAUCAUCGCUCAAAUGUGCCUAAAAUAGACUUUUACAGUGAAACAAUAUAAACGGUUUUGUUACCUUAGCAUAAAUUAGUGAUAUAAUUUUGUUCAUUCAUAACGUUUUAUUGCGAAACAAUUAUGUGAAAAAAAGAGAGAAAGAAAAAAAAAUAUUUUGCAAAUGGAAUUAAACGAAAAUAAAAUCCAAAUCUUAUGCAUACAAUGAAACGGCUUACAGUGCAAUGUGCUAAUGCAAAUGAGAAUCACAAAUUAAUGCCUUGUGAUCGUGCGGUGUAACAAUACAAAAAUAAAUUUAAUUUUUUUUUCUUUUUUUUUGUUAUACUAUUCUGUUUGUGUUUUAUCGUCGUUACACGUCAUACGUACCCAAACGAUAACAAGAACAGAUCUUGUAUGUACGUACGGAAAUUUAUUUAAAAAUUUAACGGCUACAACGUUUCGCUGCUGCGCCGAAUUAGCAAUCAGAUGGCGCGCCUGACUUUGUGAAAAUGAUUUCGUUCAGCUAAGACGCAAACGUUAAACGUGUGGUUUGAGUUAACACUUCAGUGUGCGCAACACAUUCGGUAUGGAUUUAAAGCACAUACGGGCGCCCUCACUUAAGCGCGGUAAAAACGAUGGCGGAUUGAACGAACGGGUGAAGCUGAAGUAAAU